AUUAAGCCUUUGUUGAAGCAACGCACACAUAUUAGGUGUCAAAUAUUGCAAUUUCUCUAUCUCUCUUGUCAAAUAUUGCAAUUUCUCUAUUUCUCUCGAGAGUGAAGACUGAAGUCAAGGUCUCUGGACUAUUCAUAGGAUGCCCUGCAGCUGAGGGUGGAGAAAAUGAGAAAUGACAGCUAAACGUCUGCCAAUGACUUCAAGCCAAGUCUCCAACGAAUGACCGUCACCUUGAAUAGUGAUGAUUUUAGCGCAAGACUUGCAAAGAUCUUUAUAGUGGCUAACUCUUUGCUAUUAACAUAUGAUCUACUUAUUUUUCUCAUAAAAUUUAUUGAUUUUUAUGUCAAAGCAGCCCACCUCUUUUAUCUUUCCUCUUCUGUC
rnacentral:lncRNA from 1 species